GAUGAACGCUGGCGGCGUGCCUAAUACAUGCAAGUCGAGCGAACGGACGAGAAGCUUGCUUCUCUGAUGUUAGCGGCGGACGGGUGAGUAACACGUGGAUAACCUACCUAUAAGACUGGGAUAACUUCGGGAAACCGUAGCUAAUACCGGAUAAUAUUUUGAACCGCAUGGUUCAAAAGUGAAAGACGGUCUUGCUGUCACUUAUAGAUGGAUCCGCGCUGCAUUAGCUAGUUGGUAAGGUAACGGCUUACCAAGGCAACGAUGCAUAGCCGACCUGAGAGGGUGAUGGGCCACAGUGAAACUGAGAACGGGCCCAGGCCCCUAGGGAGGGCAGAAUGAGGGAAUCUUCCGAAAGGGGGGAAAGCCUGACGGAGCAACGCCGGGGGGGUGAUGAAGGGCUUCGGAUCGUAAAACGCUUUUAUGGGGGAAAACCAUAUGGGUAUGUAACGGUGCCAAUCUGGAGGGUACCUAAGCAGAAGGCCCGGCCUAAUUAGGG
rnacentral:rRNA from 1 species